GUAGGGGGCGAGCGUUGUCCGGAUUCAUUGGGCGUAAAGAGCGUGCAGGCGGCCCGCCCCGUCUGCCGUGAAAGCCCCGGGCUCAACUCCGGAAGUGCGGGGGAUACUGGCGGACUCGAGGGUGGUAGAGGACACUGGAAUUCCUGGUGUAGCGGUGAAAUGCGCAGAGCUCCGGAGGAACACCGAUGGCGAAGGCGGGCCCCCUGGGCCACUCCUGACGCUGAGACGCGAAAGCGUGGGGAGCGAUCCGGAUUAGAUACCCUGGUAGUCCACGCCGUAAACGGUGGGAACUAGGUGUGGGCCUCAUUCACCCACGCCGGGGCCGCACUUAAGGCCUUAAUGUCCCCGCCGGGGAAGACCGGCCCCAGGGUU
rnacentral:rRNA from 1 species